rnacentral:rRNA from 1 species
UACGUAGGGUGCGAGCGUUGUCCGGAAUUAUUGGGCGUAAAGAGCUCGUAGGCGGUCUGUCGCGUCGAUCGUGAAAACUUGGGGCUUAACCCUGAGCUUGCGGUCGAUACGGGCAUGACUGGAGUUCGGCAGGGGAGACUGGAAUUCCUGGUGUAGCGGUGAAAUGCGCAGAUAUCAGGAGGAACACCGGUGGCGAAGGCGGGUCUCUGGGCUAUAACUGACGCUCAUGCACGAAAGCGUGGGGAGCAAACAGG